rnacentral:rRNA from 1 species
AGCGAACGCUGGCGGCAGGCCUAACACAUGCAAGUCGAACGAAGUCUUCGGACUUAGUGGCGGACGGGUGAGUAACACGUGGGAACGUGCCCUUUGGUACGGAAUAACUCAGGGAAACUUGAGCUAAUACCGUAUGUGCCCUUCGGGGGAAAGAUUUAUCGCCAUUGGAGCGGCCCGCGGCUGAUUAGCUAGUUGGCGAGGUAAAGGCUCACCAAGGCGACGAUCAGUAGCUGGUCUGAGAGGAGGAUCAGCCACAUUGGGACUGAGACACGGCACAAACUCCUACGGGAGGGAGCAGUGGGGAAUCGUGCGCAAUGGGCGAAAGCCUGACGCAGCCAGGCCGCGUGAAUGAUGAAGGUCUUAGGAUUGUAAAAUUCUUUCACCGGGGACGAUAAUGACGGUACCCGGACAAGAAGCCCCGGCUAACUUCGUGCCAGCCGCCGCAGUAACAC